GACGAACGCUGGCGGCGUGCUUAACACAUGCAAGUCGAACGGACAGGCCCUGCUUUUGUGGGGUGCUCGAGUGGCGCACGGGUGAGUAACACGUGAGUAACCUGCCCUUGACUUUGGGAUAACUUCAGGAAACUGGGGCUAAUACCGGAUAGGAGCUCCUGCUGCAUGGUGGGGGUUGGAAAGUUUCGGCGGUUGGGGCUGGACUCGCGGCUUAUCCGCUUGUUGGUGGGGUAGUGGCUUACCAAGGCUUUGACGGGUAGCCGGCCUGAGAGGGUGACCGGCGACAUGGGGACUGAGAUACGGCGCAGACGCCUACGGGAGGCAGCAGUGGGGAAUAUUGCACAAUGGGCGGAAGCCUGAGGCAGCAACGCCGCGUGCGGGAUGACGGCCUUCGGGUUGUAAACCGCUUUCGACGGUGACGAAGCGUGAGUGACGGUAAUGGGUAAAGAAGCACCGGCUAACUACGUG
rnacentral:rRNA from 1 species